GGACGAACGCUGGCGGCGUGCCUCAUACAUGCAAGUCGAGCGGUCUGGCGCAAGCCAGAUAGCGGCGGACGGGUGAGUAACACGUGGGUAACCUGCCCUAAAGACCGGGAUAACAUCCUGAAAGGGAUGCUAAUACCGGGUAUGGUCUUCCAGUCGCAUGGCAGGAAGAAGAGAGGAGCAAUCCGCUUUAGGAUGGGCCCGCGUCCCAUUAGCUAGUUGGUGAGGUAACAGCUCACCAAGGCGACGAUGGGUAGCCGACCUGAGAGGGUGACCGGCCACACUGGGACUGAGACACGGCCCAGACUCCUACGGGAGGCAGCAGUCGGGAAUAUUGGGCAAUGGGGGAAACCCUGACCCAGCAACGCCGCGUGAGUGACGAAGGCCUUCGGGUCGUAAAGCUCUGUCCUUGGGGACGAACGAUGACGGUACCCAAGAAGAAAGCCACGGCUAACUACG
rnacentral:rRNA from 1 species